rnacentral:lncRNA from 1 species
CAGGCAGGAGAAGGCGGCGGUCGCACGCUCGUCCACCGCUCCCGUCCCGUCCCCGAACUGCGUGAGAUCAUAACCUUUAUAAUCACAGCAUCAAUCAAAACAAAUUCGUAGAGCAAAGAUCAAGAGGCCCGAGUGUCGGAGGUCUGUGUGCCAUGGACUUGAGCUUCGCGCGAUCAGCUCCCGACUUGUGAGUUCGAGUGCGCCCGGGAGUGCGACUGGACCUAAGAAGUGCUAAGCAGACAGAGAGGGAGAGAGUGUGCUCGUGAGGAGGCUGGCCGUGGGCGGAGUCAGGAGCCGCGAAGGCGUGCGGGCGCGGAGGGCGGUUCCCUCAGGAUGCCCACCGCACUCAUCAUCUUCGACCACGUGUUCCUGCUGAUCCUGUUCCUGAUCGCGCUCUUCUUCGGCGUCGUGGCCAUGAGUCUCCGUGGGCGGCAGGGCCGGUCCGCGCACGCCGCCGCUGGCAUGGUGUAAGCGCCCCUUCCACGCCCGCGGGUACACGAGUCCCCCCUUCCCCCUCCGGCGACGCCCACGCUCGAGGGAGCUCACGCGUCUCCCCGCCACACUCGCCCUCACAGAGACACACGGACAUUUCAGGAAACAAAAACAAUUUUGCAGUGAUUUGCAUACAUUGUGACUGUUUCACUUAGAUAAACAUCGUAGAUUGCUAGACUCGCGGGUGCCCGUUAGACGCUCCCUUCAUGAAUCCCUGUAGAGACCACAGAAAGAACAAAAUACACGUAGCUUCCUUGCAGUGACGAGUGUUUUCGGCCCGCCACACGUCGGACGCUCCGCCCGAGAGGUGGACACAGUAUCCCGAUCCGGAAGAAAUCGGAUCCGAGUCCCGAUCGGUCCUCCUCGACCCCAGGCCCCCGUUCCGAACGCAGGAGCGCGCGCGGAACGACGAGCGACGAGGACCCUCCGCCGAGCACCCUGGAGCCCCAGACGUCCGCGGCAAUGAACGCCCUGCUGGUGCUGGACGCGUGCUUCCUGGCGCUGCUUCUGGUGGUGGCGGUGGCGUGCUUCGUGUACACGGUGGUGCCGCCCCUCCGCCAGGCGCCGCGCUUCACCCACCUCACCCACGUCAUCACCCAUGAGAUCCCACGCCCGCCCGACGCCGCCGCACCCGUCACCGAAGUCUAGGUCUUCCCGCUCGCCGGAUCGUUCCCGUCACGAUGCGCGGGGAACCGAAGCAUCCUGUCUCUCACGCCCACGGCCCCCGCGCCAAUUUGCGGCAGCUCCCUUUGGCGCCCGCGCCGCGCAGGGGGCCAACUCUCAACUAGCGACGUCCGGUGUGAUCGUGACUGACCUGUGGCGCUAGUCUGGCUGUCUGCGUGCGCGCGGACACAGACCACACAUUCAAAGCCUCAGACCACAUGAAUAUACACAUACACGCUCGCGCGCGCACGCGGGUGUACAAGCAAUAUAAUGCAAUUAUUUUAUCCAAAUUCUAAAUUUCAUCCCUAAAUUAUUAGAGGUCAAUAUCAUUUAACCUGAAUCUGAAAAUCAACAAAUGUGUUUGGUAAUAUAGAUGCCAUAAUACUGGGGUAAUUAUAAAAAGUCAAUUGAUAACCAGAUUUGUUUACAAUACCAGAAAUUCCGACACUAAUAAUACGGUGUUGCAUUCGCUUUAUCAACACGCGGGACUUGCACAGUCGCUCAAUCACAUUUGUAUUUAGAAAAGUUUCUGAUAUAUCCAAGACUCCACUAUCAGAUUCACAUGGCAAUAGAACCGACGGGUACACUGCAACAGUGAUAAAACCCACAGCCACGGCCAGCCCCAGACGUCAGUGAAGGUCACAGGUCAGAGGUCAAAGAUUGCAAGUCACAGAUCAACUCAUCCUGAGUCACGUGACCUUCCAUAUCCUCCGUCACGAAGGGAAAGGAUGGUCAUUAUAUUAAAAAAAAA